rnacentral:rRNA from 1 species
GCUCCGAUGGAGGGGGAUAACUACUGGAAACGGUAGCUAAUACCGCAUAACGUCGCAAGACCAAAGAGGGGACCUUCGGGCCUCUUGCCAUCGGAUGUGCCCAGAUGGGAUUAGCUAGUAGGUGGGGUAACGGCUCACCUAGGCGACGAUCCCUAGCUGGUCUGAGAGGAUGACCAGCCACACUGGAACUGAGACACGGUCCAG